rnacentral:lncRNA from 1 species
GAAUUGGGGGUUACUAUCUUGGAAUCUAGGGGCACUCCAGGCUCUGGGCUCAGACGGCUGGCUUCUGCCUACCCGAGCCUUAACCUUUCAAGGACCAGAAGGAUUCCAGAGCUCUUGCCCUAGGUCCUGGGGCAGCGAUGACUCACUGCAGCACCCCCUCCCACUUCGCCAAGCUGCCGUCUCCGCCCACCCCCAAACAAUCUCGACAGCGCAUUUCGGGAGCCACGGCUCCGGGCGCUUUGCUGGGGGCUAAAGGGGUUUAUCCCUUUCCUUGAAUCCCAGCAGGCUAGAACUACCCCCUCCCAGUCUUCAGGCUUGCCACGCUCUCCACCCGAUCCUUCCAUUGAAAGGCAGAGAAGGAAGGAUGUGCUUGGGAACUUUAAGACCCACGAACGACAGCGCACUGAUGGAGCAGCCCAGUGUCUGGGGGUAGGUUCUUACUCUGUUGCUCAAGCUGGAGUGCAGUGAUGCAAUCUUGGCUUGCUGUACCCUCGAACUCCUGGGCUCAAGUGAUUGCCCCAUCUCAGCCUCCUGAGCAUCUUGGACCACAGGCAUGCACUACCAUGCCCAGAAAAGCGGUGUCUGAUUUGGCAAGAAUACAUUUCUGCAUUCAAAGUUGAAAUGUGAAGAUAAACCUCACCCACUUGGAAUAGGAUAAAAGAAAAUCCCCUGGAUAGAGGGAAAUAUGCAAACAGUUCUAUUACCAUGUGUAUCUUUUCCUGAGCUGGGUCUUUAUGCAACAAAGGAACUGGAGGUAAUCCAUGCCUUCGGGCACUGUUUCCUAAUAUCACUGUCACCAAGUUGCUCCAUCCAUGUUUUCAUCAAGUGUUUGUGGAUCACAUCUUAUGUCCAAACCAUGGGGUUGACUUCAGGACUGGAGUAUGUGAAGAUUCUGGUAUAUCUGCAAGAAAGUCCUCGAGGUUCAUUCAUUCAGGAAGCCUCUGACCAGCCUUUACCAUGCGCUGAGUGAGAAGCUGAGGAUAAGGAAAGAGCAAGACCCCCAAGAAACCCUGAUGUCUGGCUGAAAGCCGAAGCAUGACGCAACUUUGCUAUAUUUCUCUCCAACAAGGAUUUGUAUAUUUUCGCUUUCUCCUCAAGUAACACCUGGACCUGCUCCUUUCCCUUCAAACGCUGAGGGCUCAGUCUCCAAGUUCCUUUAUGAAACAGGGUGUACCAUCAGAGACGCAGGUAAGAAACCUGAACUGCGUGGCCUCACAUAAACCCCACCACACCUCUGUCCUGGGCUCCUUCCCCGCAACAGGUGUAAAGACAAAAGGCUCAUUGUCCUUUGGAGCCUAUAGGAUAAACAGAAAGAACAUGUCCUUGCCGGUUAAUCUGCCGGUGAUAAAGAGUAUUGUUUUAUCUCCUGCCAUCUCCACGUUCCAAGAGAUGAAUUCUAUUGUGACACAAAGUCUGCUUUGUCCUUCCAACCCACUGAGAUGUUUAAAUUGGCCUCUCAUAUAUUCCUUGGUUGUCACAAUAAGAGCAAUGAGUUGUUAUAAUGUGUUGAGAGGAUCUUUCCCCCAUGACAAGGAGACCAUCAUCUACAGAGAUGCUAUGAUGCUGAGAAAUAAUGUGCUUCUCUUCUGCUCUAAUUUUUUUUAAUUAAGACUUUUAUUUUUUGAGCAGUUAUAGGUUUAGAGAAAAAUUGAAGGGAAAGUACAGAGAGUUCCCAUCUUCUCUCACCCCUUUCAUCUCUGUUUCCAUACGUUUGCUACAAAUGAUGAGCCAACAGCCAUACGUUAUUAACUAAAGUUCACAGUUUACAUUAGGGUUCACUCUUUGCUUGUACAUUCUAUGGGUUUUGUCAAAUAUAUGAUAACCUGUAUCCUCCAUUAUAGUACAAUACAGAAGAAUCUCACUGCCCUAAAAAUCUCCUGUGUUCCUCCUGUGCAUCCCUCCCUCCCAUCCCCUGGGGAACCACUGAUCUUUUUGCUGGCUCCAGUUUUACCUUUUUCAGAAUGUGAGGUAGUUGGGAGUCAUACAGUAUAUGUGUAUAUAUAUAUGUGUAUAUAUAUGUGUAUAUACAUAUAUAUAUACACAUAUAUAUACAUAUAUAUAUACACAUAUAUAUACAUAUAUAUAUAUAUAAAAAAUAGCCUUUUUAGAUGGAUGUCUUUCCCAUAGCAAUAUGCAUUGAACUUUCCUCCAUGACUUUGUGUGGCUCAAUAGUUCAUUUAUUUUUGUUGCUGAAUAGCUUCUGCUUAAUUUUCAAAGUGUUUAAUGUAAGAAAGCGGUAUAGUCCAGGCGCAGUGGCUCAACACCUGUAGUCCCAGCACUCUGGGAGGCGGAGGCGGUGGAUCACUUGAGCCCAGGAGUUUGAGACCAGCCUGGGUAACAUGAUAAAACCUUGUCUCCAUAAAAAAUACAAAAAUUAGCUGGAAAUGGUAGUGUGCGCUUGUAGUCCCAGCUACUCAGGAGGCUGUGGUGGGAGGAUUGCUUAAGCCCAGGAGCUAGAGCCUAUAGUGAGCCAUGAUUGUGCCACCGCACUCCAGCAUGGGUGACAGAGUGAGAUCCUGUCUCAGAAAAAAAAAAAAAACAAAAAAAAAAAAACCCAGAAACAACAACAACAAAACGGCAGUAUAUUUGUCCCCACCCUCAUCUCUUCCUUUAUGGGUAUUUCCCUAAUUGUGAGAGAUUACCUGUGUUUUAAAAGGUGGCUUACUGUAUGCAUUGAGAAAAUUAAAUGACAUUUCAGACCAGUUCCAAGUACCUUUUGCAAAGCUAGAGAAAUAAAAGUGAAUUCUAGUAUCUCAAUCACAGAGUAAAACUAGAGAAGGUCUGUUGGGCUUCAGGCAACAUUGGUGUUCUUGGCAAUUUUACCCAGAAGAAUUUAUAUUCCUAUAAUUAGUAUUUCCUCCAAAAUUAAUGAUCGCCUGAUUGAUUUAUUUCUUUCCUAGCAGCACUGGAGGUCCCACUUACCUAGUUAGUAAUAACAUUUGCUCUUAAUACAUGAGUCAGUUUUCUUUUUUCCUUUUUUCUUUUUCUUUUUUUUUUUACAUUUCCAAAACAGAAUACCCUGCAGGAAGAAUGGGAUGGCAGUGGAGGAGCUCUCACUCACAUAUCAUGUAAUGUGGGAGGCAGGGCUAUGCGAUAGUCAUAAAGGGUGCAGGCUUCAGAAUCAAAGGAGUGAGGUUGGUGUCCCUGCUUACGCCCUACUAGCUGAGUGUCCUUCAGGUCAUUUCUCCUCUCUCAGACUCAGUGGACUGUUUCCUAAAGCACAGCUCAUAACAGGCUGUACGUGGUAAGACCGUCGGGAAGAUGGAAGGAGAUCAGUCAUCCCUAGAGAGCAUUAAGCACAGUCUCAGCCACAAAACACUUCCUCAAACAUGAUGCAAGCCACACAGGGCAUUUGGCCUGCGUAUAAAGGACAUACUGAGGACAGUGUAGAUGCUCAAGAAAUUAGUCCUGAAUGAUCAAGGGGGGAAAGAGAGGGUUAAUCUUAUCAUAUGUGGGCUCUCAGAGAACACAGAGCUAUAGAAGGAAGCUGACUUAAUAAGGGUCAAGCAUGAUAGGGGAGAUUAGGAACCGUGUGCAAUCUAAUGGAACCACAGAUAACACCUUCUAGUACUUUUUCCCUUUGGCCCUGCCCCUGCUGAGACAGGGCCACUGCUAAUAACUCACAUUCUUCUCUUCUCUCCUCUCAAAAAGCCCAUUUCCUGAGCAAGUAUAUGCUUUGGUAAGGUCAUUAGCGGUCAACAUGGUUCCCAAGUUUAGUGAAUACUUUCAGAUAAAACUGAAGGGUACAAAAUCACUCUUUCCUCUCUCCCUCUCCUUGUCCUACCUCUCACAAUAAAACGACUUAUCUACUAAUUACAAAGACCUCAAUAGUGGAAGAAAUCCAUAUCCUACAUAACAUGGAGAGCUAGCUAUAUACCCUUGGCAUCAGUUUUUAUCCUACUUUUACUUUUUACUGACUUUCAUUUACUGAACAAAGCCUCCUUUGCCAAAGGCAGGGUAAAUAAACUCAGUCACAUCCUGUCUUCCUUACAUCUUUGUUUAUCCAUAAACUGUCGAAGAUACAGAUGAAAAUCCACUAAAGCAUGCUUGAAGCGGUUACACGAAGGCCAAAUAAGAUGGGAAUGGAAAUGCCUGAUGUUAAGGGAAGAUACUACCUAAAAUGAUACUGAGCUGGCCAGUGUAAUGACAUGAAAACAAAACAAAAAAAAUAUUUAUUGAAACCUGCUUUGUGCUGGGCAAUGUGCCAGAUGUUGGGGAUAAAAUGGGAAACCAGGUGUUAUUCAAGAAAUCAUCAUCAAAUACGUAGACUUCAGAAAUGAAGAUGCAAAGACAACAGGGGAAACCAUAUAUGUUUAUGGACAGUCAUGCCAAAGUAUGAUUGGAAGACAAAAAGGGCAGGACACUGUCACAGAGCCUUUAGUGGAGAAGGAAAGAAGAGGGCCAGAGAGUAAACUUAGACCCACCUAAAAGUGAAGUUACAUAUGUGGAUGUUUAUAUGAAGAAUAAAGGACACAAGAAAGGAUUCAAGAAAUGAAAAACGGUGGAGGAAGAUAAACAUUUCAAGAUUCAGAUCACGUUGCUGCCCGAAUUCAGACCUGUGAUCUCACUAUGUUGCCUCGGCUGCUCUGAAACUCCUGGCCUCAAGUGAUCCCCCCUGCCUUGGCCUCCACAGUGCUGGAACUAUAGGUAUGAGCCAUUGCACCCAGCCAGGAAAUACAAUUUUCGAAAGACUAAACAAGUUUCUAAAAUCAUGGCACAAUUAAGUAGCAAAAUUAGAAUACAGAGUGGGCUUGUUGGAAAGCGUCAACUAUUAAUCACCAUGCCAUACUUUUGAGGAGCAGACCCCACACUUGUAACCAGGCCCUUCAAUUUAUCAUUCCUGCAAGUCAAGACUUCACCUGUGAACCAGCUGCCCUCUGCCAGCCCAACUUCGUGGAUGUGCAAUCUCUACAGUUGCACAGGGUCCCGUGUUUAGUUUAGUACUUUGCUUUUGCUAUCUUUAAAUACUUAAUAAUUUUUAAACAAGAGAUUCCAUAUUUUUAUUUUGCACUGAGCUUCACAAAUUACAAAGUCAGCGCUAUCCACAGUACCCAAGCUAUAAUUAAUACAAAGCUUUAAAAGCUGCAUGGAGUUUAGCUGAAAUUGCUGCCCAGUCCGAAGCUAAUUUUGGAAGAUGCUGUUCGGUCUUAGGUUAUGAAAAACGGUUCUGCCCUUUUACAACUCCAGCAGGAAGAGCUAAGCUCCCAAUAUUCCGUCCAUUAAUGUCCCUGGUGAGAGUCUUCAAAACUCACGAGCAACAAUGCAAGAAUUUCCCAGCCUUCAACGUGUGACCCACUUCUACAUUAUUGACUCCAAUAAACUGACCAAUUAAAUGUUUUUGUGGUCACAGAACUUGUAAUUAUGUGGUUAAAGAUGUUUCAGAUAUAUCACAUUCUUUCACACUGUGGCAGAAACUAUUGGUUAAAUAACUCAGCCAUGUCUAUCUUCCUUGUCCAAUCUGCACAAAAGAGACUGGAAAAAAGCUGGACACUUGCUUCUUUCCCAUCCUCCUUUGCAGGUAAGCAUCGCUGUGUGACUUAGUUCUGGCCAAUGAGAUGGGAAGGCAGUCUUCUGGGAUGCAAAAAGCUUUUUUCUUUGUUAAUAAAAAGGAGAAUGCCUCUAUAGGAAAAGAUCUUUUUCAAUACCACUCUGUUGCCCAUUUCCUACCUUGAUGUUGUUUGGAGCUACGGCACCCAUCUUGAGAUAAUAAGGUAAAACACAUCACUAGGAAAAACCAACAGCUGAAUUUAGAGUAGACAGGAUGGAAGGGACCUGGUGAUAUUGUGGAGCAAUGAACGAAUGCUGUCGACUGCCUAGUUAACCUAUUACUUGUUUAAAUCUCUGAUAGGCUAUAUUUUUAAAAUUUUGCAACCAGGGUUAUUCUUAGUCUAAGCAUGCAACUUUGAAAAAUGUGAUCCCUUUGACAAGAUAACAAGCCUUCCAUUACCUGCUGCAGGUGACCCAGUUUGCUGGCUGUUGUGGGUAGCUCAGAACAGGACCCUAAGGCACCUUGGCCCUCCCUCUGCUUUAAAACUCAACACCAAACUGUAUUCAUUCUUGUGGUACUGCCUGUGUCUUAACAUGCAUCCCAACAUCUGGCACAGAGCCUGGCACUGGCAACCUCUUAGGAAAUUUGUUAAAUGAACUGAUAGUGUAGCAUUCUGUCACUUUCCUCAGCGAUAAAAUUCUCAUUCUUCAAAAAAUUUUCCUUUUGCAACUGAAUUUAAAAAUGAAAUACCUACCACCUACCACUUCAAGCUUUGCUAGGUGACGGCUUACUUUUUUGGCCAAUUCACUGCUCACUAACAUCUCCAUCAAAGGGAAAAACACACAUUGUAAAAUAAGAAUUCUUCAAAGACAACUUGAAGACAUCUGGGAAUUCUGAAGCCUGAAAAUUCCAUGAGUUCAUAGCAGUGUUCACUAAUUCCACUGAUCUAAAGACAAAAAGGAGAGUCAACUGCGUGCCCAAACUCAUUUCUGAUGAUUUCUUCCAUCCUAACUUUUCUGCCUCUCUGGGGGUGGUUAUGCCUGUGAAAAACAUUGAAGCUGUCAGGAACAGAGUCGGCUUUCAAGAUUGGAAUGUCAAAGUAGAGUCUUCUUUUCCUCAGACCAGAAGGGGCUUGGUUGGGUAAGAGUUUCCAGAUCUAAAUGGAGACAGGACUGGGAUAUAGGAGCUUGUACGGAUAAACAACACAAACACCUUGGGUAAGUGAUACACCAAGAGAGAUCAAAAUAGGGUAGGAACACGAUCCUAAAGCUAUGUGAGAUACGAAGCCAAGAGACCCUGUCUACAGGCUGAUAUGUAUUGCAACCAGAGGCCACCUACACUCAAGAAAAUUCUAAAUGAUGUAAUAGGUUGUGGACACUUUCUUGUAAAAAUGAUCGAUAUUUUUUUCUUAUAGGGAUAAAGCUUAAAAGCAUGGGAUGUAUCUCCAUUAGGAAAUAUGAAGUGAGUUGGUAUAUUACAGGUAGGUUAGACUGAGAUAAUUAUAAAACUGGGCUGAUUUUACAUAGAGAAGAACUUGAUUCCUAAAGGUGUUGAAGGACAAGAUGGGGACAGUUAUUGAAGUGUUCAGGUGCUGUCCUUUGUAGUCUGUAGCCUAUUAAAAUAAUACACAACUGAACACAGACCCAAGGAAAGGGGUUCUACUCAUCGCUAGAAUGUAAACUCUAAGAAGAUAAGGAUUUUGUCUGCUUCAUUUAUUACUGUAUUCCCAGCUCCUAAAAGAGUGUCCAGCACUUAGUAUCUGUUGGUAAGUACCUGUUGAAUUAAUUAACCAGUGAUGAGACUUUGGAAAGCAGCUAGUCCAUCUGUAAGAUUGUUUUCUCAUCUGUGAGAUGAGUCAGUUAGAUUAGAUGUUUUCUAAGCUUAUUCUAGUUUUAAAAUUGUAUAUUUCUAUAAGAAAUGAUAAAUGAAAAAUGUCCAUUCCUUUUUCAUCUCCAUCACCCAUCUCACAUCUUCCUUCAGUGCCUAUGUGAUCUGUUUGAGUAUAACCAGGUGUACAAAAGUACUAAGUGAUAUGAGAUGACUUCAGUAGUCCAGGGACUCUUUCUUCCCCCACUCUGUAAAGAGUUAUUUGCUUAAUUUAAUGUACAUUAUAAAAACAGAAUAAUUGGACAAUUGGAAUAUUGUUAUACACAGUUAAUCAACAGACUCUGUAUAAGUGAUAAGGCCUCAGAGAAGAAGAAUAUUAGAGCUCAACUCCAGCACGAUGAGUCGUUAACACCCUUGGGAAUGUAUAGCUGUUAAACAAAACAAGGAGACCAUAUUGCCCUGUGAAUUCAAAGGGAUCUAAUGGGAAUUUCAGAGUAAAUUUAUUUUAAGGUGAAGAAACCGAAGCACAAAGAAUAACUUGUCCAAGAUCACAGAGUUUAGGAAGUAAGGAAGCAGGGCUUUGAGCUUUGCAUCAAGUGAUGACCCAUAAAUGCAAAUGGAAUACAACAGGAGUGGGUCCCUAAAGUCCCACCCAGAGAAUGCCCUUCUGCCAAAAAAUUUCGGAUUGAAACAGCAAAAACACCUAAGCAACUGAUAGUCAGGUGGUUCUCUGAUUUAAUUGUUUGAAAGCAGUCACUGGAAGCAAAGCUAUGUGACUCAGCUUUGGUGAUGUACUCCAGCUGGAGUCUGACAGGAUCAGUAAAUGUCUAUGCAGUACUAUGUGUGAUAUGCUGGGGACACAAUGCUGACAGAGACCUGAUUCCUGCUCGCAGUUUGUUGGGAAGAUGGACAAGUGAAAGCCAUGACAGUGAGAAAGAGCCGUGACAAGGUACAGCCUUGACUCAUUGUUGAAAGUAGUUGUAGAGCCAGCAGGUUGGAUGCCAAGGAGAAGAGAAGAGGUGGUCAUAGCAACCUAGAACCAUUGAUUCAUGGAGUUUCUAGCAAAAGGUCAUUAGGAACUAAUGGAAGUGUUAGGAGGAAGAUGAGCUCAGUUUUGAUGAUGAUUAUUCACAUGACUUUCAUUGACUUUGAAGAAGUGUCUGUAUUUCUUUGGAGGCCAAGUCACAUGGGAAUAGAGGGCCCUUGUCACCUGCCACAUAUGAAAGAGCUCAAAGAUCAGCUGCUUGGAGAAGAAUGGGAGGAAGACAUGGAGACAGAAGAAGAAUGAUAAGAAGGAAGAAGAAAAGGUGGCAGAGAGAGAAAAAGAAGACAGAGGAAGGGU